GGACAACCCGCCGAAAGGCGGGCUAAACCCGCGUACAUGCCACCGGGGCAUCCCGGAGGCAGGAAAGGCUUCGGCCGGACAGGGAUGGGCAUGCGGCGCAUUAGGCAGUAGGCGGGGUAACGGCCCACCUAACCGACGAUGCGUAGGGGUUCUGAGAGGAAGGUCCCCCACACUGGUACUGAGACACGGACCAGACUCCUACGGGAGGCAGCAGUGAGGAAUAUUGGUCAAUGGUCGGGAGACUGAACCAGCCAAGCCGCGUGAGGGAUGAAGGUACAGAGUAUCGUAAACCUCUUUUGUCAGGGAACAAAGACUGGGACGCGUCCCCGGAUGAGUGUACCUGAAGAAAAAGCAUCGGCUAACUCCGUGCCAGCAGCCGCGGUAAUACGGAGGAUGCGAGCGUUAUCCGGAUUUAUUGGGUUUAAAGGGUGCGCAGGCGGUCUGUUAAGUCAGCGGUCAAAGCCCGGGGCUCAACCCCGGCCCGCCGUUGAAACUGGCAGUCUCGAGUUGGAGAGAAGUAUGCGGAAUGCGCGGUGUAGCGGUGAAAUGCAUAGAUAUCGCGCAGAACUCCGAUUGCGAAGGCAGCAUGCCGGCUCCACACUGACGCUGAGGCACGAAAGCGUGGGUAUCGAACAGGAUUAGAUACCCUGGUAGUCCACGCAGUAAACGAUGAAUGCUGGCUGUCCGGGGGGACUGACCCCUGGGU
rnacentral:rRNA from 1 species